rnacentral:rRNA from 1 species
GGAUGAACGCUAGCGGCAGGCCUAACACAUGCAAGUCGAGGGGCAUCGGGGAAAAGCUUGCUUUUCCGCCGGCGACCGGCGCACGGGUGCGGAACGCGUAUGGAACCUGCCCCUGUCAGGGGAAUAGCCCAGGGAAACUUGGAUUAAUGCCCCAUGGUACCGCGAUAUCGCAUGAUAUUGCGGUUAAAGAUUUAUCGGACAGGGAUGGCCAUGCGUACCAUUAGUUAGUUGGUGGGGUAACGGCCCACCAAGGCAGCGAUGGUUAGGGGCCCUGAGAGGGGGAUCCCCCACACUGGUACUGAGACACGGACCAGACUCCUACGGGAGGCAGCAGUGAGGAAUAUUGGACAAUGGGCGGGAGCCUGAUCCAGCCAUGCCGCGUGCAGGAUGACGGCCCUAUGGGUUGUAAACUGCUUUUAUACGGGAAGAAAUGCGCCCACGUGUGGGCGUCUGACGGUACCGUAAGAAUAAGGACCGGCUAACUCCGUGCCAGCAGCCGCGGUAAUACGGAGGGUCCGAGCGUUAUCCGGAAUCAUUGGGUUUAAAGGGUCCGUAGGCGGGCCUGUAAGUCAGGGGUGAAAGUUUGUGGCUCAACCAUAAAAUUGCCUUUGAUACUGCAGGUCUUGAGUCAUGGUGGGGUCGCCGGAACAUGUGGUGUAGCGGUGAAAUGCAUAGAUAUCACAUAGAACACCGAUCGCGAAGGCAGGUGGCCAACCAUGUACUGACGCUGAUGGACGAAAGCGUGGGUAGCGAACGGGAUUAGAUACCCCGGUAGUCCACGCCGUAAACGAUGGAUACUAGCUGUGGGGACUUCGGUCUCCGUGGCCAAGCGAAAGUGAUAAGUAUCCCACCUGGGGAGUACGUUCGCAAGAAUGAAAC